rnacentral:rRNA from 1 species
GACGUAGGGCGCGAGCGUUGUCCGGAUUUAUUGGGCGUAAAGAGCUCGUAGGCGGCUUGUCGCGUCGUCCGUGAAAACCUGGGGCUCAACCCCAGGCUUGCGGUCGAUACGGGCAGGCUCGAGUUCGGUAGGGGAGACGUGGAAUUCCUGGUGUAGCGGUGAAAUGCGCAGAUAUCAGGAGGAACACCGGUGGCGAAGGCGGGUCUCUGGGCAGUAACUGACGCUGAGGAGCGAAAGCGUGGGGAGCGAACAGG